AAACCAUGAUUAGAACAUUUGCAAAGAAAACUCUUAUAACGAUCCCAACAUUCAUACAUAGAUUCAUCAUCAUCCUGGUGAAAGGAUGCUAUGUCAUUUCUUAGCU